AAAGCCAGCCCACGGGUGGGGCGAGCCUGUCCCCAGCACCCCGGGGGGGGGGAGAUGCCCCCCUCACGCCUGUGGAGAAAGAGAGUAUUUGACUGAAAAAUGAAACCAAAGAAGCGGCCGGGAUCCUGGAAAACCCUGCGGGUGAAAAUCCGAGUGGAGAAAUCCUAAACGUCUGCAGGCAAAUCGUGCCGGGACGUGCGGGAGGCUCCUGUGCCGUCUAGGCCCAGCUGGGUGGCCAGCCUCCGUCUCCCGGCGCCGGCAUCACGGGAGGACUGGGACGUGAGGCAGCCGAACCGCAACGUCCACGAAGCGCAACACGCGCGCCGAAUGGUUUUGGUUGUCUGCUUUUGUUCCAACACUAACAAAACAUUUAACCUUUUUAAGUGGUCUGCUUUACUCUCUCCCCGGCUGUUUUCCAGAGAGGGGAGGCAACGACUUUUCCACCGGUUCUGUGCCUCAGACUGAAGCCUUUCCUUUUGGAUGUACAGGCAGUCCUCAACUUACAACGUUUCGAGUGACAAUGUUUCGCACUUAUUAAAUGACACCCUGUUUCAACUUUCUGACGGAUCGAGCGUUGUAAAGUCGGAACUGAUGACGCCACGCCAGCAAGUUAGUUCGCUGCGUCGCCCGUCUCUCGUCUGUCCAAACUUCCUUGAAGUUUUAAGAAAGUGUCCAAGACUCCAGAAAAACCUGCAGCCAGGACUCCUGAGAAGACUCCAGCCAGGAGCCCGUAAAGAAGUCCAGCCAAGUCACCUCAAAGCCAAAUCAAUGUGAUUGCUAUUUACAAUAUAUAUACGUUAAUGUAGCUAUAUUACUCAUCUAUAAUUGAUUGAGUACAAAAUUCUGGGUUAUUUUUGGUGAAAAUAGGGCAGGAACCAAUCCCCCAUAUAUAACAUUGUUUCCUAUGGGAAAAAUCAGUUCCGAGUUGCAACGUUUCGACUUAAGACGCAGUCUCAGGAACCAAUUGUGUCAUAAGUCUGAGGAUUGCCUGUAUUUGGUGAUGCAUGUCCUCAUCCUCCACGGCAGUGACUGGCACCCUGAGUCGCUGCAAGAUCCCUUCGAGGGUGCUGCAGCACCUGGCCACUGUGGGAGGAAGUUGGGCACCCUACACACACCCCAGUGUCCUGCAGGCAAACAGCACCCCUGGGAGCUCCCAGUCCUGCCCCCCACCCUACUCCAGCCCCAGUGCCAGCUGCCCCCAUGCAAAGGGAUGGAUACGUGGCUGUAGAGCUCUGCUUUUCAGAUCAGCUCAUUCCCUCCUUCUUCCCAGGCUCCUGGACAUUGUGGAGGGCCUGCAAGGAAAGGUGGCUCUAGUCACUAGUAUGCAAGUCCAAAAAGGAGUAGCUGCAGCACUGGGGGCUGCGAUCUCCCCCUGAUGAUGAUGAAAUGAGUGUCACCACGCUCAUGUGUGGGAAACAUGAGGGCCAGAAAGCCAGCAACAGGUAGAGAAGGUGGAUCUGCAUGCUGUCUCACCCUCCCCAGCUCUCAGAAUCCACACAUUUGCAACUGUGCAUGCCCCCCCAGGGUUUGCCCCAGACCUGUACACCACUAUCCUGCACUUAAAAAAAAAAAAAUCUAAAUAACUGUUUCUAUCUUGGCCUAACACACAAAUGAGUGACACUUAUUAUUAGUUGUGGCAUGUAUCCUUAUAAUUCAAUUUUACAAGCCAGUCAAGUAAUAGCACCUAUCCCACAGAGUUUAUAAUCACAGAAAGAAAAUACAAUAAGGUUUCUAGACUGCAUUUCAAGGCAAAGAGGUGACUAAUGAGCAGGUAGGAAGGACGAUGGGAAGGGGGAGAGACCAGCUGAAUAACAAGGAGAUUGUUCCAGACAUAGAUACAGGAUGACUGUAGAUACAGAAACCAAGAUUGAGAAGAGACUAAUUAAGAUGAAAGACUUGGGGAGAGUGGAGGGAGCAGGAAGGGAGGAGUAUUAAAUACUGUUUACAAUGAUCACAGAUUCUUUUUCUAUUCUUACUACAUUAUCUCCAGCUGAGCUAAUGCUUCUCUGUAGAGAGAACAACAAAAUAUGCCUAGAUAUUAUGAAAAUAAAGGCUCUAGAAAUACUUAAAACAA